CGAACACGUGUCUCCUGAAUUGGUGGGCAGAUUCUUUAUAGCUGAGCCACAGAGAAGCCCAAUUAUUGUUCAAAACAACAUCAAAUCAGAUUUUGGUUAAUCUCACUGUAUGUUUAAAAAUGCAUUGAGUACAAGGGCAUUAUUUUCUUAUAAUACAGCACAUGAAAUUUUAUAAAAUGCUUUUCUAUUUAUUUGACUUCACAACAACUUGGUAGAGUAGAUAUUAGGGUUCCAUUUGCCGGAUGAUAAGACUUCACUUAUUUAACGAACCUGUCCAAUUACCAAAGGUUCACUUGGCAACAGAGAUGAGUCUAGAUCUCCAUUCUUCAGAUUCUUGGCUACUCAAAGGGUGGGCCCUGGACCAGCAAUGUCAGCAUCACCUGGGAGUCUGUAGAAAUGCAAACUUUCAGGCCCCAUCCAGUUCUAUUGAACCAGAAUCUUUUAACACAAUCUCCGUAAAUUCAUAUGCAUAUAAAUAUUUGAGAAGCUCUCUCUCCUCUCACUAUCUCACUGUCUCCAAACCUCUCUUCUCUAAAGUCUAGACUGUAAGCCCUUCAGGGGCCAGGCCCGCAUCUGGCUUAUUUACCACUGUACCUUCAGCACUUGCCAGCACCCAGGCCAAGCAGGCUUUCCAUUAGACACAUCGACAACGCUAUCAUUGGGUUGUUAGGCCUGCCAGCCAUUUAGUACCAGAAUCCAUUCUAGAGGAAACAGAAUAAUUUUUCGUGUUCCUGAAAGUCUACCAUCAGCGCAAAGGUAUUUGCCUUAUUCAUAUGAGAAAGGUGAAGCCAUGCUUAAAAAAUAUACUGAAGCCUAUAGUUUGCAAUCCUGUUUCUCAGCCUACAAAACCAGUGCCUGUAGGGAAUGGAAACACUGUACUGUGUAAUUAUUUAAAUGAAAACAACAUAAAUGAAGAGAAGGACCAUUUAUAUCAUGGUACUAAUUAAAUGAGAACUAAUGGGCCCUGCUGAGAAAGGAUACAGCUGGAGAGAGCAAGAAAAACUUCCUGCCAGUAAAGACUAGCAGACAAUGGGACAGUUUUCCUAGUGGGAUAAUUAUGACUCCUGGAGAAGAUUGUCCAAGGCAAGAUGAGAGAAGUACCAGCAAAGUAUAAUGUGCUUCUAACCUUAUUAUCGAUGAUGCUUUCAGGCACCAGCUCCGGGUCACAGGUUUUGAAAAUACUAAAUGCUUAAUUCAGUGCUGCCCUUUCACCCAAAAGAUCUCAGGGUAAGAGAAAAAUGUGUGCACCAGUCCAGUGCUCCUUGAUUUAACUCUUCCCUGAAAUACUCUAGGAAUAAAUAAUGGAGGAGGAAAUUAUAACCCCCACUUCACUCUCCCACCCAAAAAUCGCCCGAAGAGAUUUCCAUUUCAAACAGCUGGUAGAACAACAAUGUGAUCAUCAAAAAGUUUGUGACGAUGAUCCCCCAACCCCUGCCUUAUUUUUCUUCAAGAUCACUCCAAAAAAAAACAAAAAAAAUUUAGAAGCAGGAAAUUGGUGAUGUGGAAGGGAAAGUCUCCUAUUCAGAAAAUCAAUGCAGAUUGAGAUAUCCAUAAGGAGAUGUUGAUUUAUAAGCUGCUGCGUUGAAAAUUACUUGCUUUCUCAUUAGCCGGACCUGGUUUAUGGCUGUGAUAUAAAUAAGGCAAAUAAUUUAAAACAAAUACUUGAGAAUAUGUUUGACUUUCAUUUUGUCCUUGGAAAAUUUGGGGCCUAAGUUAAAGAUUCACAGAGAAGUCAAAAGGCUACCAGACACAAAUGCUACCUUUAGAGCUCAGCUUCUGGGAGAGAAAAACCUGGGUUUGGAUCCAGCUCUACCCAGUAUUUCUGGCAUCUCAUCCAAGCACUUGACUCCUCUAAGAAUUGUAUUUCUCAUUUUUAACAUGUGAGUAACAACAGAAGCAACCUCUGUGAUGGUAAAGGUUCCAAGGUGGGUUUGCAUUUCCCACUUGGAAAGAAGGCCAACGCCUCCAGAAAGGAGUGAAUGUGGCCAUUCAAGGGUGCCUACUGAUUUCAUCCAUAGUAUGCCAGGUGGGAUAUGAGAAGACUAUGUUAACGGUAAUACUUCAUCAGGAAUGGAGAAAACCAAAUAAAAGCUCAUUCAGCUUUACUGC